GAUCGGCCACAUUGGGACUGAGACACGGCCCAAACUCCUACGGGAGGCAGCAGUAGGGAAUCUUCCACAAUGGACGAAAGUCUGAUGGAGCAACGCCGCGUGAAUGAAGAAGGCCUUCGGGUCGUAAAAUUCUGUUGUCAGAGAAGAACGUGCGUGAGAGUAACUGUUCACGUAUUGACGGUAUCUGACCAGAAAGCCACGGCUAACUACGUGCCAGCAGCCGCGGUAAUACGUAGGUGGCGAGCGUUGUCCGGAUUUAUUGGGCGUAAAGGGAACGCAGGCGGUCUUUUAAGUCUGAUGUGAAAGCCUUCGGCUUAACCGAAGUAGUGCAUUGGAAACUGGAAGACUUGAGUGCAGAAGAGGAGAGUGGAACUCCAUGUGUAGCGGUGAAAUGCGUAGAUAUAUGGAAGAACACCAGUGGCGAAAGCGGCUCUCUGGUCUGUAACUGACGCUGAGGUUCGAAAGCGUGGGUAGCAAACAGGAUUAGAUACCCUGGUAGUCCACGCCGUAAACGAUGAGUGCUGAGUGUUGGAGGGUUUCCGCCCUUCAGUGCUGCAGCUAACGCAUUAAGCACUCCGCCUGGGGAGUACGGUCGCAAGACUGAAACUCAAAGGAAUUGACGGGGGCCCGCACAAGCGGUGGAGCAUGUGGUUUAAUUCGAAGCAACGCGAAGAACCUUACCAGGUCUUGACAUCUUCUGACAAUUCCAGAGAUGGAACGUUCCCUUCGGGGACAGAAUGACAGGUGGUGCAUGGUUGUCGUCAGCUCGUGUCGUGAGAUGUUGGGUUAAGUCCCGCAACGGGCGCAACCCUUAUUGUCAGUUGCCAUCAUUAAGUUGGGCACUCUGGCGAGACUGCCGGUGACAAACCGGAGGAAGGUGGGGAUGACGUCAAAUCAUCAUGCCCCUUAUGACCUGGGCUACACACGUGCUACAAUGGACGGUACAACGAGUCGCUAACUCGCGAGGGCAAGCUAAUCUCUUAAAGCCGUUCUCAGUUCGGAUUGCAGGCUGCAACUCGCCUGCAUGAAGUCGGAAUCGCUAGUAAUCGCGAAUCAGCAUGUCGCGGUGAAUACGUUCCCGGGCCUUGUACACACCGCCCGUCACACCAUGAGAGUUUGUAACACCCAAAGUCGGUGGGGUAACCUUUUGGAGCCAGCCGCCUAAGGUGGGACAGAUGAUUGGGGUGAAGUCGUAACAAGGUA
rnacentral:rRNA from 1 species